rnacentral:rRNA from 1 species
CCUACGGGAGGCUGCAGUGAGGAAUAUUGGUCAAUGGACGAAAGUCUGAACCAGCCAAGUAGCGUGAAGGAUGACGGCCCUAUGGGUUGUAAACUUCUUUUAUAUGGGAAUAAAAUGUUCCACGUGUGGGAUUUUGUAUGUACCAUAUGAAUAAGGAUCGGCUAACUCCGUGCCAGCAGCCGCGGUAAUACGGAGGAUCCGAGCGUUAUCCGGAUUUAUUGGGUUUAAAGGGAGCGUAGGUGGAUUGUUAAGUCAGUUGUGAAAGUUUGCGGCUCAACCGUAAAAUUGCAGUUGAAACUGGCAGUCUUGAGUACAGUAGAGGUGGGCGGAAUUCGUGGUGUAGCGGUGAAAUGCUGAGAUAUCACGAAGAACUCCGAUUGCGAAGGCAGCUCACUGGACUGCAACUGACACUGAGGCUCGAAAGUGUGGGUAUCGAACAGGAUUAGAUACCCUUGUAGUC